UGAGUAACACGGAGGUAACCUGCCCAUAAGACUGGGAUAACCCACGGAAACGUGAGCUAAUACCGGAUAGGCAUUUUCCUCGCAUGAGGGAGAUGAGAAAGGCGGAGCAAUCUGCCACUUAUGGAUGGACCUGCGGCGCAUUAGCUAGUUGGUAAGGUAACGGCUUACCAAGGCGACGAUGCGUAGCCGACCUGAGAGGGUGAUCGGCCACACUGGGACUGAGACACGGCCCAGACUCCUACGGGAGGCAGCAGUAGGGAAUCUUCCGCAAUGGACGAAAGUCUGACGGAGCAACGCCGCGUGAGUGAUGAAGGUUUUCGGAUCGUAAAGCUCUGUUGCCAGGGAAGAACGCCUAGGAGAGUAACUGCUCUUAGGGUGACGGUACCUGAGAAGAAAGCCCCGGCUAACUACGUGCCAGCAGCCGCGGUAAUACGUAGGGGGCGAGCGUUGUCCGGAAUUAUUGGGCGUAAAGCGCGCGCAGGCGGCAAUGUAAGUUGGGUGUUUAAACCUAGGGCUCAACCUUGGGUCGCAUCCAGAACU
rnacentral:rRNA from 1 species